rnacentral:tRNA from 1 species
ACAACCCUAGUAUAACAAAUACAGUUAACUUCCAAUUAUCGAAUCUUAGCAACUCCUAAGGGGUAGUA